rnacentral:snRNA from 14 species
UCACUACCCUGGCAGGGGAAAUACCAUGACCACCAAGGUGGUUUUCCUACUGGCUGGGGAAAACCACAAGCACGGCAGGGGGUAGUACCAUGAAGGAGGUAAUGCUUAGUUAGCCCCCCACUUCCACUUCCAGUGGGAAGGUCUCAGCUAUCUGCUGACUUUAUGGAAAUGGGAGACUCCCCCCUAGCUUGCUCCUG